CCUACGGGAGACUGCAGUGAGGAAUAUUGGUCAAUGGACGAGAGUCUGAACCAGCCAAGUAGCGUGAAGGAUGACUGCCCUAUGGGUUGUAAACUUCUUUUAUAUGGGAAUAAAAUGUUCCACGUGUGGGAUUUUGUAUGUACCAUAUGAAUAAGGAUCGGCUAACUCCGUGCCAGCAGCCGCGGUAAUACGGAGGAUCCGAGCGUUAUCCGGAUUUAUUGGGUUUAAAGGGUGCGUAGGCGGAGUUGUAAGUCAGCGGUAAAAAUGCGGUGCUCAACGCCGUAUCGCCGUUGAAACUGCGGGUCUUGAGGGAGCGAGAGGUAGGCGGAAUGCGUGGUGUAGCGGUGAAAUGCAUAGAUAUCACGCAGAACUCCGAUGGCGAAGGCAGCAUACCGGCGCUCAACUGACGCUGAGGCACGAAAGCGUGGGGAUCGAACAGGAUUAGAUACCCGUGUAGUC
rnacentral:rRNA from 1 species